rnacentral:lncRNA from 1 species
UGGAAGUUGACACUUCUGUUGAUUAUGCUCCUUUUCAAGGGAGGGCCGUGGUUGUAGACAAGACUAUCUAUUCCAUACAAGGGAAUGAGUUUAUAGCAUUCUCCUUUAGGAUGGACAAAGGUGACCAUGGUAAUAUUGGAUAUUCCUUGAGCCAAUUGUUUAUAUUGCAAGACCUAGAGAUUGUGUGUCUACCAUUGCCAUUUAAAAUGAAGAGUGAGUAUUUGGUUCAUUUGGGGAACCAUGACUUUUUCCAUGUCAAGACUGGUCAUUGCUUUGACACGGCUCAAUAUCUUUGUAUCACUACAUUUCAAAUUGUUGUUGGAGAAGGAGAAAGAGAUAUGAUCAAGACUAUAAAUUCAACUAUUCAUUCUGUGGAUGUAGAGUGCAUUGAAUAUUUUGAUCUUGUUUUCUGCUUCAUGCCGUAAGUUUCCUACAUGUUUCUUAUUGUGUUUUCAUCAAUAACAUUAUUAAUUUGUUCUGUUACAUUUUGUAUGUAACAAGGUUUCUCAUUAUUAUGAUUCAGUGAUUGUGGGGAUUAUGAACCUAUAGAAGAUAAGAGCGUGUGA